rnacentral:rRNA from 1 species
UACAGAGGUGGCAAGCGUUGUUCGGAAUUACUGGGCGUAAAGGGCGCGUAGGCGGCACGGCAAGUCGGGAGUGAAAGCCCGGGGCUCAACCCCGGAACGUCUUUCGAAACUGCCGAGCUAGAGUGCGGAAGGGGCAACUGGAAUUCCCAGUGUAGCGGUGAAAUGCGUAGAUAUUGGGAAGAACACCUGAGGCGAAGGCGGGUUGCUGGGCCGACACUGACGCUGAGGCGCGAAAGCGUGGGGAGCGAACAGG